rnacentral:tRNA from 1 species
GUUGUGGGUCAGUGGUAGAGCACUCGCCUUGCACGUGCGAGACCCUGGGUUCGAUCCUCAGCACCACA